UAGGGAAUCUUUCCACAAUGGACGAAAGUCUGAUGGAGCAACGCCGCGUGAGUGAAGAAGGGUUUCGGCUCGUAAAACUCUGUUGUUAAAGAAGAACAUAUCUGAGAGUAACUGUUCAGGUAUUGACGGUAUUUAACCAGAAAGCCACGGCUAACUACGUGCCA
rnacentral:rRNA from 1 species